GAUGAACGCUGGCGGCGUGCCUAAUACAUGCAAGUCGAGCGAAUGAUGAGGAGCUUGCUCCUCUGAUUUAGCGGCGGACGGGUGAGUAACACGUGGGUAAUCUGCCUGUAAGACGGGGAUAACUCCGGGAAACCGGGGCUAAUACCGGAUAACAAGAGAAGAAGCAUUUCUUCUUUUUGAAAGUCGGUUUUGGCUGACACUUACAGAUGAGCCCGCGGCGCAUUAGCUAGUUGGUGAGGUAACGGCUCACCAAGGCGACGAUGCGUAGCCGACCUGAGAGGGUGAUCGGCCACACUGGGACUGAGACACGGCCCAGACUCCUACGGGAGGCAGCAGUAGGGAAUCUUCGGCAAUGGGCGAAAGCCUGACCGAGCAACGCCGCGUGAGCGAUGAAGGCCUUCGGGUCGUAAAGCUCUGUUGUUAGAGAAGAACAAGUACGAGAGUAACUGCUCGUACCUUGACGGUACCUAACCAGAAAGCCACGGCUAACUACGUGCCAGCCGCCGCAGUAA
rnacentral:rRNA from 1 species